UACGGAGGGAGCUAGCGUUGUUCGGAUAUACUGGGCGUAAAGCGCACGUAGGCGGCGCAGCAAGUCAGGUGUGAAAUCCCGGAGCUCAACUCCGGAACUGCCUUUGAAACUGCAGUGCUAGAAUUCUGAAGAGGCGAGUGGAAUUCCGAGUGUAGAGGUGAAAUUCGUAGAUAUUCGGAAGAACACCAGUGGCGAAGGCGACUCGCUGGACAGACAGUGACGCUGAGGUGCGAAAGCGAGGGGAGCAAACAGG
rnacentral:rRNA from 1 species